AAACAGUUCUCCUCACUAGGUACACACACGCCUGGCCCUGCACAAACAGUUCUCCUCACUAGGUACACACACGCCUGGCCCUGCACAAACAGUUCUCCUCACUAGGUACACACACGUCUGACCCUGCACAAACAGUUCUCCUCACUAGGUACACACACGUCUGGCCCUGCACAAACAGUUCUCCUCACUAGGUACACACACGCCUGGCCCUGCACAAACAGUUCUCCUCACUAGGUAGACACACGCCUGGCCCUGCACAAACAGUUCUCCUCACUAGGUAGACACACGUCUGGCCCUG